AUGAAUUCAACUGGACAGGACACACUAACAAGACCUGCUACAUGAAGUUACUCCAUUGAUUGAGAAAAGGAGUCCCUGAUCCAGGCGUGUAUAGAGUCGAGCAGCCACAGGUCGUAAACAAAAACAUUGCAAUGUCGUGAGGUGUGGGUAGAUCACUUGGACUGACAUAAUUAAUUUUUUUUGCUGUUUUUUUUCCCUUUUCAUGUUUCAACCCCUUUUGUGCUUUAUUGCAAGAUGUCCAGAAC